AUUGAACGCUGGCGGCAGGCCUAACACAUGCAAGUCGAGCGAGCGGCGGACGGGUGAGUAAUGUAUGGGGAUCUGCCCGAUAGAGGGGGAUAACUACUGGAAACGGUAGCUAAUACCGCAUACUAUUGGAGCGGCCGAUACCGGAUUAGCUAGUUGGUGGGGUAAAGGCUAACAAAGGCAACGAUCCGUAGCUGGUUUGAGAGGACGACCAGGCACACUGGGACUGGGACACGGCCCAGACUCCUACGGGAGGCAGCAGUGGGGAAUUUUGGACAAUGGGGGAAACCGUGAUCCAGCCAUCCCGCGUGUAUGAGAAGGCCUUCGGGUUGUAAAGUACUUUUGGCAGAGAAGCGGUAUCGGCAGAAUAAGCACCGGCUAACUACGUGACAGCAGCCGCGGUAAUUC
rnacentral:rRNA from 1 species